rnacentral:rRNA from 1 species
AACGAACGCUGGCGGCAUGCCUAACACAUGCAAGUCGAACGAGACCUUCGGGUCUAGUGGCGCACGGGUGCGUAACGCGUGGGAACCUGCCCUUAGGUUCGGAAUAACUCCCCGAAAGGGGUGCUAAUACCGGAUAAUGUCUUCGGACCAAAGAUUUAUCGCCUUUGGAUGGGCCCGCGUUGGAUUAGCUAGUUGGUAGUGUAAAAGCCUACCAAGGCGACGAUCCAUAGCUGGUCUGAGAGGAUGAUCAGCCACACUGAGACUGAGACACGGCCCAGACUCCUACGGGAGGCAGCAGUGGGGAAUAUUGGACAAUGGGCGAAAGCCUGAGACAGCAAUGCCGCGUGAGUGAUGAAGGCCUUAGGGUUGUAAAGCUCUUUUACCCGGGAUGAUAAUGACAGUACCGGGAGAAUAAGCUCCGGCUAACUCCGUG